rnacentral:rRNA from 1 species
AAUCAACGCUGGCGGCGUGCCUAACACAUGCAAGUUGAGCGCUUGAGGGGGGCAACCCCCAAGAGAGCAGCGAACGGGUGAGUAACGCGUGGGUGAUCUUCCUUCGAGUGGGGAACAACAUCGGGAAACUGGUGCUAAUUCCGCAUAAUAUCCCGGGGCUACGAGCCUCAGGAUCAAAGCCGGGGACCGCAAGGCCUGGCGCUUGAAGAUGAGCCCGCGUCCGAUUAGCUAGUUGGCGGGGUAAUGGCCCACCAAGGCUUCGAUCGGUAGCCGGCCUGAGAGGGCGGACGGCCACACUGGAACUGAGACACGGUCCAGACUCCUACGGGAGGCAGCAGUGGGGAAUUUUUCGCAAUGGGCGCAAGCCUGACGAAGCAACGCCGCGUGGAGGAUGAAGGUCUUCGGAUUGUAAACUCCUGUCGACCGGGACGAAUGCACUCGACCUAAUACGUCGGAAUGUUGACGGUACCGGUGGAGGAAGCCACGGCUAACUCUGUGCCAGCAG